rnacentral:sRNA from 1 species
CUCUAAUUUACCAUCUGCUCAUUUUACCUGUCUCUUUCAUCGCUCCGUCCUUUGCCAACGUGGUUAUCCCUCAAAGAGAAUUGGAGCUGUCCUUUACUUCAGCAACGGGUAUAUCUGGAGGUACACUAGGAGGUGCACUGGGCUGGUUCGAUUCAGUCUGCAAUUUACGAACCAUUUGCUCUAUGUGAGCUUCACGGUCUUCAAACGUUCUUCUUGGCUCUGUUAGCAUCGGAGGCAGAACUUCCCGUAUUAAGUGAGGAUUGUGAAGUGAGAGCAGAUUGAUCACAAAAUGUUCGUCGUCCACAUGGUCCACACCAUAAGCCAUCUUAGAAGUUACUUGGCGCUCCUGUCUGCUGGGUCGAAGACGUCGUACGGGGCAAUUACCCUUCAGGCAAUCAUGCUCUGCUGCGAAACGAAAAAGCACGGCCUUAAUAGGCAGUCAGCAUCAAUACGUACGGGAUAUGAGUAAAGUUCCUCACUUGUGAAAAAACCGUGACAAACACUCCAUCGUUUCUUUGCAGCAUGGGCAUGCCGUGGAUGGGAUGGCGGUUUCCCCCGAUGGUGCAGCGGUUUAUUGUAACCAUGCCCAGAUCAUCAUCUGAGGAUGGCACAAUAUCAACGAUGCGUCCAUACAGGAUUUUACCCUCAAAACAUGUCAGAGAUUGAAGCACAUGUUGGAUCACUAUGGUUGGUACAGGCACAAUGCCCUUUUGCCAUCUAACUUACCCCAUUCCUACAAACCACCCAAUUGCCCACUUUGCAGUGGUCCCCUGAAGCAGCUUCGACAGCGUGCGAUUUGCCAUCCUUCUGCCCAGCCAAGCGAACAACCUUUCCUGGUGGGUAUAAAUCGUCAACAGAAUUUGUGAUAUAGGACUUCAAAGCCAAAGCAUACCUUUCUUGGCUUUUCUAGGAACCGACCAGCCAAGAUGGGUACAAAGACCGUGGUCCUGUCGUAGUCCAAGAACCUUAUGGCCAGCCCCCCAUAUACCAGUUUCUGUCACAAAGAGACCACCAGUAACCAAAUGUGCACAUAUCCCAGCGUGUGCAAACCAAGCCGCCACAUCGUGGCUAUUGGCUUGGCCAUUCUCACGGAUAGUGCACCCCCGAACGACACUGUUGAAUCUCUCAUGUCGUUCGGUAGCUUGGUGGAUUACUGGACCAUACCUCAGCACGUCUCGUAUAACAUGACAGAGGUAAUGGACUUUUGGCUUCUUUGUGAUGAAAUCUGGAUUGAUCUCAUCGAGUAAAUCCUGUACGUUGGCAACCAAGAUUUCGAGAUCAUUCUAAUUUUGCGUUGCAUGGUAAGCCGAGUAACACUGAAAUUGGAGGUCUGCUUUGUGACAUACUAUAUAUUUAUCCAGAUUUUUUAUUACCGGGAACCAAAGAUGAGCACCUAAGGACGCGAUGGACAGCAUGAGCUGACAUGUUGCCUUGUCUUCAUCUUCGGUGGGAAUCCCGAACAGCUGUAGUGGCAGGGACUGCGAGAGAAAUCGGUAAUGGCGACCGUUCAGGGAGUGGCUGUACCGCCAGAUAUAUAAAGCGUCACCUUUGUCGGUAUCUAAACAAUCCUUCGCGGCCGAAUCUAACUUAGCCACAAGAAUGUCAACACGAUCCUUCGGCAUCCUGGACACGACAUGUCUCCAUCCAUAUUUCAUGAUACCCAAAGAGUAGAUAUGUAGUAACUCGAAAGGCGUGUCGUGCGCUGGAUCGAGACCUUACAUGCGUGCCAGUUAGAUGAAGCUUUUACUAUGUGG